rnacentral:tRNA from 1 species
AGCUGGAUAGAGCACACGCCUUCUAAGCGUGCGGUCGGGGGUUCGAAUCCCUCAGUGGACG